rnacentral:tRNA from 1 species
GCCGAGGUAGCCUAGUCCGGCCAAGGCGGUAGCCUCGAGAGCUACUGGCGGCAACGCCUCGAGAGUUCAAAUCUCUCCCUCGGCGCCA